rnacentral:rRNA from 1 species
GUAGGGAAUAUUGGGCAAUGGAGGCAACUCUGACCCAGCCAUGCCGCGUGCAGGAUGACGGCCCUCUGGGUUGUAAACUGCUUUUAUACGGGAAGAAAAAAUACUACGUGUAGUAUACUGACGGUACCGUAAGAAUAAGGAUCGGCUAACUCCGUGCCAGCAGCCGCGGUAAUACUGAGGAUCCAAGCGUUGUCCGGAUUUAUUGGGUUUAAAGGGUGCGUAGGCGGAUCUUUAAGUCAGUGGUGAAAGCCUGCAGCUUAACUGUAGAAUUGCCAUUGAAACUGAAGAUCUUGAAUGUGGUUAAAGUAGGCGGAAUGUAUCAUGUAGCGGUGAAAUGCUUAGAUAUGAUACAGAACACCGAUAGCGAAGGCAGCUUGCUGAACCAUUAUUGACGCUGAGGCACGAAAGCGUGGGGAGCGAACAGGAUUAGAAACCCCUGUAGUCC